rnacentral:tRNA from 1 species
GACUAAAUGGUGUAGUGGUCAGCGCGUUGGCCUCAAAACAAAGGUCCCUGGUUCGAAUCCUGGUUUAGUCC